rnacentral:rRNA from 1 species
CCUACGGGAGGCAGCAGUAGGGAAUAUUGCUCAAUGGGGGAAACCCUGAAGCAGCAACGCCGCGUGGAGGAUGAAGGUUUUCGGAUUGUAAACUCCUUUUGUUAGAGAAGAUAAUGACGGUAUCUAACGAAUAAGCACCGGCUAACUCCGUGCCAGCAGCCGCGGUAAUACGGAGGUUGCAAGCGUUACUCGGAAUCACUGGGCGUAAAGCGCGCGUAGGCGGGAUAGCAAGUCAGAUGUGAAAUCCUAUGGCUUAACCAUAGAACUGCAUUUGAAACUGUUAUUCUAGAGUAUGGGAGAGGUAGGUGGAAUUCUUGGUGUAGGGGUAAAAUCCGUAGAGAUUAAGAGGAAUACUCAUUGCGAAGGCGACCUGCUAGAACAUAACUGACGCUGAUGCGCGAAAGCGUGGGGAGCAAACAGGAUUAGAUACCCCUGUAGUC